AAAAAAGCUAAACUAAAGUCUGAGGAGACCCCCCAAACAAAGAUAACUGAAAUAGAGGAGUAGUGAGCAAAAAUAAAUAAACGGAAUUAUCUCAAACAAGUUUUUAGAGAAAGAGGUAAACGGUAUGAACAUUCAAAAUUUACUUGGGUGAAAUAGAAACUACUCGUUAAUAGUAAAGAACUCAAAAACCAGGAGCACUUAGACAUAUUAAAAUCACACUGAUUGGUGAAAUUUAUAUAAAUCUCUAGCAAUCAAAAGGAAUAAGGCAUCACUUUAAGUAGAUGAGGGAGCAGUGGUAGAGCUUGAUGCAGUGGGACGGCUUUGAGCAGUACCUACAGGUGAAGCACCGAACUUGGACACAUAAGUUUUGAAUGUAUGCCAAGCAUUUUUGAUAACAGGAGGAACUCUGUUAUCUGCAACCAAACGAUCCAUUCGAAGGCUAACGGCUUUAAUGGAUGCACGAGUAAAGUGACUAUUAGUGUAUCUCAUGCGAAGAAAGAAAAUAUAGCCCACCAACCUGGAAAUUGAGUUUUUACGUAAGAAAACCCCAAAGAACAAACGGAACAAUAAAAAUGUUUCGAGAGAAGCAACAAGUUGCAUAGCAGGUUGAAAUUGGCUUCGAGUGUACUGAUUUAGCAAAUUAGAAACACGAGAAGCAUAAGACGCAGUUUUCGCGUCAGAAAUAUUAGGGUAAAUGGCAGGCAAAAGCACACUACGCAAGUAAGUGGAGAUGUGGAAAGUGGCGUAAAUGGCAUAUGGAGCGAGAGAAAAUAGGAUGGGACGAUCAAUCAACAUUGAAAGAGCUAAAAUAAAAUACUGAACAUUGUCAUCGAGCAUAAGACGGGCAAAGAAAUGCUUAUUCCAAGAAGCACGGGAAGUCAAGUUUGGACUAUAAGUUUUGUAAAGGACAAUUGCAUAUGCAACGAUGGCACCAAAGGCAGCGCUUUUAAACAAAAAUGGAGGAGCGGAACGAAAAGGGAUUGCUUGAAGAGCAUACAAGACGGAAGAGAUUAGCACUAUUACUUGCCCCGAAAACCAAACAAACUGGGUGUUCUAUAAUAAACGGUUAGUAAUGUAUUAAAAGAGUGAAGACAAUAUGACACUGAAUCAAAAUAAAAUAAUGCUGACAAAUUAGUCUAU